AUGGCCACAGGAGUCGCGCCAGAGCCGGAGAAGAAGACCGUCGUCUUCCCCGGUUGGGUGAUGCUGGAUCGCUUCGGCCGCACCUACUGCCACGGCGACCUAGACGCUGCUUGUGAGGAGGCCAAUAAGAAGAAGACCGCCGUUGAAGUCGUCACGUCCACCGGCCACCACUGCUUCAUGUCAUUCACCUUCUCGGAUCAUAAAGAAGGGAUCUCUUACCUCGAUCUACACUGGCCGCUGGAAGGCUCAGCCAAAUCCGAGUCCCCCUUCAGCGUCCACGCAUAUCCCUACCUCCGGGCAACCGACAAGGACCUCGUCCUCUUCGACAUCUCCCUCCCGAGCCAGACUAGCUUCUUCGACCUGCCGCCAGAUCUGUUCGUCUACACGGCCGCCGGUCCUUCCCCCUGGGUGCAGCGGCUCCCUCUGUACAUUGAGGACAGGGAAAGGCCGUUCCUGAGGUCUAACUUCACCACGGGCAUCCUGCGACUUGCGCACCACCGCUUCAUUGUUGCCGACCUCAAUGUCUACCUGGGAAAAAAGGAGGGCUCUCACGAUUGUUCCAUGCUUGCCGAGCUCUGUGUCUUCAACUCCGAGACUGAAGAGUGGAAAGUCAUCGAGGAGGUGCCCGCCCCGCAGCCCCAGGACCAGAGCAAUGGCGGCCAGUUCCCCAUCCUUUGGUCAACCGACGAUGUGCUCGCUUGUGACGGCCGUUUCCUCUGCUGGGUCGACUACUUGAGUGGUGUGCUGCUGUCCGACUUCUCCACCAUAGACUCCCCGGUGCUCCACUUCGUUCCUUUCCCUGGAGGAAAAGAGUACAGUGAGGAGGUACUCCUCUCAAGGUGCUUUGCGGGGAGAUUCCGGAGUGUGUCCAUCAGCCAUGGCAUAAUGCGCUUCGUCCACAUUGACAAUGACUUUCACGAGAGAAUCCAUGUUGACUGGCGUCGGCGUCUCGAGAGAAGCCAAGGACACCAGCAGCCGCCCCAAAAGAUCACCAUAUGGACUUUGAACAUGAGGGGUGGUAACUCCAAGUUUGAGUGGGAGCCACACCGUGAGAUCAACCUGGAUUGUCUAUGGGCGCAAUGUGAUUACCGGGCUCUGGACAUAGGUCAGCGUCUUCCCCAAUUCCCAGUCAUCUGCGUGGAGGACCCUGAUGCCCUGUGCUGCCUGUUGAGGGAUGAGGGAACUCCUGGAAAGGCGUGGAUGGUCAUGCUUGACAUGAACUAUGCAUAUCUGCGGUCAUGUACUCCAUAUAUCAAUCAACACCCCUACGAUGCUGGGCGUGUGGAUGUGGAAACUCACCAAAACUUCUUCUCUAAUGUGCCCCAACUUCCAACCGUCUUCUCCAACUACCUUGAAAGGCCAUCAGUGAUACGACGGGAUGGCGACAAGGUUGCAUCUAAACCUUCAAAGAAGGUUAAGCUGGCAAGUACUCCUCCAGAAGUUGCAAAGAAGGCUAAGCUUGCAAUUCAUCCACCAGUGCAAUGUGAAGACCUGGAAUCUGAUGACUGGUUGGACUUUGGGCCCGUUCAAGUCAAAGACGAUGUUCGUCGAUGGUGCCAAGUCAAUAGCGCAAAAAUUGGCAUUGAUGGGAUGAAGAUGGUGUACUGA
rnacentral:rRNA from 1 species